GUGGGGAAUUUUGGACAAUGGGCGCAAGCCUGAUCCAGCAAUGCCGCGUGCAGGAAGAAGGCCUUCGGGUUGUAAACUGCUUUUGUACGGAACGAAACGGUCCUGGUUAAUACCUGGGGCUAAUGACGGUACCGUAAGAAUAAGCACCGGCUAACUACGUGCCAGCAGCCGCGGUAAUACGUAGGGUGCGAGCGUUAAUCGGAAUUACUGGGCGUAAAGCGGGCGCAGGCGGUGCUGUAAGACAGGCGUGAAAUCCCCGGGCUCAACCUGGGAAUUGCGCUUGUGACUGCAGUGCUGGAGUACGGAAGAGGGGGAUGGAAUUCCGCGUGUAGCAGUGAAAUGCGUAGAUAUGCGGAGGAACACCGAUGGCGAAGGCAGUCCCCUGGGCCUGUACUGACGCUCAUGCACGAAAGCGUGGGGAGCAAACAGGAUUAGAUACCCUGGUAGUCC
rnacentral:rRNA from 1 species